rnacentral:rRNA from 1 species
AAGGAUCAUUACAUUUAGUAGCUUGCUACUGCUAAGAGGGUCUGUUAGGCUGUAUAGUAUUGCUACUGACGAGCAGCAUGAUCCUCUAAGUCAACCCUUGUCUUUUGCGUACCUACGUUUCCUCAGCGGGUAUAACCCGCUGGCUGGACAAAAUUAAAACCCUUGAAUAUUCAAUCAGUGUCUUAGAAACUUAAUAAUUACAACUUUCAACAACGGAUCUCUUGGUUCUGGCAUCGAUGAAGAACGCAGCGAAAUGCGAUAAGUAGUGUGAAUUGCAGAAUUCAGUGAAUCAUCGAAUCUUUGAACGCACAUUGCGCCCCUUGGUAUUCCAUGGGGCAUGCCUGUUCGAGCGUCAUUUGUACCCUCAAGCUCUGCUUGGUGUUGGGUGUUUGUCUAUGCUUUUGCUUGGACUCACCUCAAAGCAAUUGGCAGCCAGUGUUUUGGCAUAGAAGCGCAGCACAUCUUGCACUUCCAGUCUUAAACACCAGCUUCCAGUAAGUCCCUUUACGUUUGACCUCGGAUCAGGUAGGAAUACCCGCUGAACUUAAGCAUAUCAAUAAGCGGAGGAAAAGAAACCAACAGGGAUUGCCUUAGUAACGGCGAGUGAAGCGGCAACAGCUCAAAUUUGAAAUCUGGCUCUCUUAGGGCCCGAGUUGUAAUUUGCAGAGGGCGCUUUGGUGUCGGCAGCGGUCCAAGUUCCUAGGAACAGGACGUCACAGAGGGUGAGAAUCCCGUACGUGGUCGCUAGCCUUUGCCGUGUAAAGCCCCUUCGACGAGUCGAGUUGUUUGGGAAUGCAGCUCUAAAUGGGAGGUAAAUUUCUUCUAAAGCUAAAUACUGGCCAGAGACCGAUAGCGCACAAGUAGAGUGAUCGAAAGAUGAAAAGCACUUCGGAAAGAGAGUCAAAUAGCACGUGAAAUUGUUGAAAGGGAAGCGCUUGCAGCCAGACUUGCCUGUAGUAGUUUGUCUAGACUUUUGUCUAGUGCACUCUUCUGCAGGCAGGCCAGCAUCAGUCUAGGCGAUUGGAUAAAGGUCUCUAUCACGUACCUCUCUUUGGGGAGGCCUUAUAGGGGAGACGUCAUGCAACCAGUCUGGACUGAGGUCUGCGCAUCUGCUAGGAUGCUGGCGUAAUGGCUGUAAGCGGCC